UCCGGGAGCAGCGGUGCAUGACUGUAGUCCCAGCUACUUGGGAGGCUGAGGUAGGAGGAUCGCUUGAGCCCAGGAGUUCUGGGUUGUAAUGCCCUAUGCCGAUGGGAUGUCCACACUAAGUUCGGCAUCAAUAUGGUGACCUCCUGGGAGUGGGGGACCACCAGGAUGCCUAAGGAGGGGCGAACUGGCCCAGGUUGGAAACGGAGCAGGUCAAAACUCCCAUGCUGAUCAGUAGUGGGAUCCAGCCUGUGAAUAGCCACUGCACUCCAGCCUGGGCAACAUAGCAAGACCCCGUCUCUA
rnacentral:SRP_RNA from 1 species